UAGAAUUAUGAAUGAGAAAAUUAAAAGAAUUUGGUACACUCACAGGUUUUAAGAUUAAUAAACAGAAGAUGAAGAUGUUAAUAAAAAGGAAUGAAGGGGACUACUGUUAAUAUUGUGUCGCACCUUCCAAACACUUGGAAAACUUCUUGGAUAUCCAGAUUUCUGAAUAUGGAGAAGAAAAUCCACAAGAGAAAUGGCCUCCUGAUAAAUUGAGAUACUAGAUGUUGGAAUACCUAGGAGCUGGAAGCUCAUGGAGGGAUGAAAACAGGACACUUACACACAAACUUUGUCUAUCAUGUAACUAAAGAAGUGUAGGAACACCACACUCUGCCUGUAAGAAUUUCACCACUGAAAAUGAAAAGAAACAUUGAAAUUGUCUUUCACCCAACUGGAUAGAAAUUUUACUGUACAGUAUUGAUUCUGAAGCAAAAUGGGAGGCAAGAUCAACAUAAACCAAUAAGAUAUAAUCCUUGA